UCACAUUCUGUAAUGCUGAGGGCCUAGCAAGU
rnacentral:piRNA from 1 species